UACGUAGGGGGGCUAGCGUUGUCCGGAAUCAUUGGGCGUAAAGCGCGUGUAGGCGGUCCGGUAAGUCCGCUGUGAAAGUCGGGGGCUCAACCCUCGAAUGCCGGUGGAUACUGUCGGGCUAGAGUGCGGAAGAGGCGAGUGGAAUUCCUGGUGUAGCGGUGAAAUGCGCAGAUAUCAGGAGGAACACCAAUUGCGAAGGCAGCUCGCUGGGACGUUACUGACGCUGAGACGCGAAAGCGUGGGGGAGCAAACAGG
rnacentral:rRNA from 1 species